rnacentral:rRNA from 1 species
AUACGGAGGAUGCGAGCGUUAUCCGGAUUUAUUGGGUUUAAAGGGAGCGUAGGUGGGAUAUUAAGUCAGCUGUGAAAGUUUGGGGCUCAACCUUAAAAUUGCAGUUGAUACUGGUUUCCUUGAGUACGGUAUAGGUGGGCGGAAUUCGUGGUGUAGCGGUGAAAUGCUUAGAUAUCACGAAGAAAUCCGAUCGCGAAGGCAGCUCACCGGGCCGGAACUGACACUGAUGCUCGAAAGUGCGGGUAUCAAACAGGAUUAGAUACCCUGGUAGUCCGCACAGUAAACGAUGAAUACUCGCUGUUUGCGAUACACUGUAAGCGGCCAAGCGAAAGCGUUAAGUAUUCCACCUGGGGAGUACGCCGGCAACGGUGAAACUCAAAGGAAUUGACGGGG